UACGUAGGGGGCAAGCGUUGUCCGGAAUCAUUGGGCGUAAAGAGCGUGUAGGCGGCCCGGUAAGUCCGCUGUGAAAGUCCAGGCUCAACCCUGGGAUGCCGGUGGAUACUGUCGGGCUCGAGUCCGGGAAGAGGAGUGUGGAAUUGCCUGGUGUAGCGGUGAAAUGCGCAGAUAUCAGGAGGAACACCAAUGGCGAAGGCAGCACUCUGGGGACGUGACUGACGCUGAGACGCGAAAGCGUGGGGAGCAAACAGG
rnacentral:rRNA from 1 species